rnacentral:lncRNA from 1 species
CUCACCGGAGAGGAAUUAUGUUGCCUUGGAUUGAGCCCUGAGCUACACUCAUGGACAUGCUGGAGGCCCUCCUUAAAGGGUGCCUACCUGGCUCCCUUCAGGGGCUCCUGGGUUCAUGAACUGAUUUUAUCUGGAAAGUUGAUGAGGGAUCCUUUUUAUUGCAGUCAGGAUUCUGUUAGCUGAGCCACAGGUUCUGUCAUAUAAGUAGAACUCUGCUGGCUUUUCAUCUAGUUUUGUUCUGGGGGCCUGAUGAUUAGUUUCCUACUGUGAAAGAUCCCCGCAAUUCUGACCUUUCAAAUUACCUACAUGUCCUACAUGUCAUGGUCUCUGCACCUCUUUCUUCUGGCAGCUCAACACUGCUUAACCAUUGUUACUUAGCAUUCUGUUAUCUAAAUUGAAAUCUAAGAGCCUCUCCCCCUGCUUUUUUGGGAAUACUGGGGAUUGAACUGAGGGGCACUCGACCACUGAGCCACAUCCCCAGCCCUAUUUAGUAUUUUAUUUAGAGACAGGGUCUCAGUUUGCUUUUGCUGAGGCUGGCUUUGAACUCGCCAUCCCCCUUUCUCAAUCUCUUGAGCUGCGGGGAUUACAGGCCUGUGCCACCAUGCCAUCCUGCCCGCCCCCUUUUGUGUGUGUAUGGUACCAGAGAUUGAACCCAGGUGUACCGUAUCACUGAGCUACAUCUCUAGCCCCUUUUAUAUUUUAUUUUGACAUAAGGUCUCACGAAAUUGCCCAGGCUUCUUGAACUUUCUGUGGUUUCAGUCAAUCAGUUUAUUGCACUUUGCUAUAGUAGUCUAACAAGUUUUCAAAGAUGCUCGCCUCAGCAAUGAAUUUUCGAUGGCCUCAGUGAAGAGAGUAUUUUCUGGGCCUUUUCUAGGAAUUCAGGGAAAAGGUGAGUUGUCCAUGAUAAAAUUUCAGUCCCAACAUUUAUUUUGAAUGAAUGACUAGAUCUUAAGCACUACGUGUACUAGGAAGCUCUGGGCAUCUGCUAUGGUUUGGAUAUAGCUUGGCUGUGUCCCCAAGCAUUCAUGUGAUGAAAGCUUGGUCUUCAGUGUGUCAAUGCUAGGAGGCAGAGGACCUUUAAGAGGUAGACUUCAAACACAGGCCUGUAAUUCAAGAGAGUGGGGAGGCUGAGGCAGGAAGAUUGUAAAUUUGAGCAAACCUUGGCAAUUUAGUGAGACCCUAUUUCAAAAUUUAAAAAAGGGCACUGAGCAC